rnacentral:rRNA from 1 species
UACAGAGGUCUCAAGCGUUGUUCGGAUUCAUUGGGCGUAAAGGGUGCGCAGGCGGCUCGUUAAGUCGGAUGUGAAAUCUCACAGCCUAACUGUGAUAGGUCAUUCGAAACUGGCGGGCUUGAGGGCUGGAGAGGAGACUGGAAUAGUCGGUGUAGCGGUGAAAUGCGUAGAUAUCUGGAGGAACACCGGUGGCGAAGGCGGCAUUCUGGACCAAUUCUGACGCUGAGUGAGCGAAAGCCAGGGGAGCAAACGGG